rnacentral:lncRNA from 1 species
UUUUUUUUUUUUUUUUUUUUUAGAGAUGACAAGUUUUAAUGACACAGCCAACACUCACAAUCACAGUUGGCUCUUCAGACAACUUGAUCUUUGGGGCAAGAUUUUGUGUAGAGUCAAGCAAUACACAAAAGCACAUGAGCAAGAGAGGCAGCAUUCCGGCUUCUAGUGAGGGAGCGAGAUAUCUAGGUCUCAUGAUCAAAGUCCUUUUUUUUUUUUUUGAUUGUUACAUAUAUAUUUUUUAAUUUUAAUACAGAGUCAGAUUUCAGAAGCUGUACAGAGGAGAGCCAAAAACACUUUAAACAUUCAUGAUUAGCUUUAGUAUUUUUUACGGUACAUACUGAAAAUGUUAUCAUUUACUAGUAAGGAAUGCCAAGUGUGUCCAUCACCAUUUGAAUAGCUUGUAGGGGAUUUGUGAUUUCUUCCAUGUCAUCUCUUCUCCAAACCCAAUCCGGUUUAAGUCUUGAAACUAUUCUGGUUCUUACAGGUGUUUCUGGAAUAAAGGGAGUACUUAUAGUAGAAUUCAUCUUUUGUUUAUAAAGUGUUCUUUCAGUAUUCAUUUUAUGUUUACGAGCUGUAAGCUUGUAGAGACUAUAAAUACGGUCAACAACUUUGGACUUACUUCGAACACUAGAGGCCCUAUUCGUUGUCUUCAAUAAAACAGCUAACAAACAACAGGUUUUUGUAAAAAUGCUUCCACCCUUGUCUGUAACUUUGUCAGCAGGUUUUUCUCAGUACAUCUGCAAAAGGUCCAGCAGUGUAUCUAUGCAGUGGAGUCUUUUGGGUUUUCUAUGUACAGGAUCAUGUCAUCUGCAAAGAGAGAGAGUUUGACUUCCUCUUUGCCAAUUUGAAUGCCUUUUAUUUCUUUUUGUUGUCUGAUUGCUGAGGCAAGGACUUCUAGUACUAUGUUGAAUAGCAGUGGUGAGAGUAGACAUUCCUGUCGUGUUCCUGAUCUUAGGGGAAAGGCUCCCAGUACUUCCCCAUUGAGAAUGAUAUUUGCUGUGGCCUUUUCGUAGAUGGCUUUUAAGAUGCUGAGGAAUGUUCCCUCUAUCCCUAUACUCUGAAGAGUUUUGAUCAGGAAUGGACGCUGUAUUUUGUCAAAUGCUUUCUCUGCAUCUAUUGAGAGGAUCAUAUGGUUCUUGUUUUUUCUCUUGUUGAUGUGAUCUAUCACGAUUGUUUUACGAGUGUUGAACCAGCCUUGCAACCCGGGGAUAAAUCCCACUUGGUCCUGGUGAAUAAUCUUCUUAAUGUACUAUUGGAUCCUAUUGGCUAGUAUCUUGUUGAGAAUUUUUGCAUCAGUAUUCAUCAGGGAUAUUGGUCUAUAACUCUCCUUUUUGGUGGGGUCUUUGUCUGGUUUUGGAAUUAAGGUGAUGCUGGCCUCAUAAAACAAGUUUGGAAGUAUUCCAUCCCUCACAAAGGGACUUUUUAUACACUACUGGUGAGAGUAUAAAUUAAUAUAGCUACUUUGGAAAGCAAUUUAUCAUUAUCCAGCAAAGUGUAAAUCCACAUAUCCUAUGACCCAUCAAUUUCUACUCCAAAGAUUAUAUGCUACAGAAAAUUUUGCAUCUGUUUAUCACGAAACACAUAUAAACAUAUUUUGGGGAUGCUUGAGUGGCUCAGUCAGUUAAGCUACAGAUUCUUGAUUUUGGCUCAGGUCAAGCCCUGCAUUGAGUUCCACACUGGGCAUGGAGCCUGCUUAAGAUUCUCUCUCUCUCUUCCUCUGUCCCUCCUCUGCCCACACUCUCACUCUUGCUCUCUCUUUCUCUCUCUCUCUCUCUAGAAAAGAAAGAAAAGAAAAAGAAAGAAAGAAAGAAAGAAAGAAAGAAAGAAAGAAAGAAAGAAAGAAAGAAACCAACCAUAUUUGGAACAUCAUUGUUUUCCCCAGCAAAGAAAAACUCAAAACAACUCAAUUUUUUGAGAAGAGAAGAAAUGAGUGAACUAUAGCUACAUGCAUCAACAUGAAUAAGUGUAAUACAAAAAGUGAACAAAGCAAGUCUCAGAAUAUAUACAUUUCUUUUUUCAAAAAUGUCAAAAACAUAUAAAUCUAAGCAAAAUUUUAUUCGAAAACAUAUAAGGGAAGCUGUAAAGAAAUGUAAGGAGGGAUCCCUGGGUGGCGCAGCGGUUUAGCGCCUGCCUUUGGCCCAGGGUGCGAUCCUGGACCGGGAUCGAAUCCCACGUCAGGAUCCCGGUGCGUGGAGCCUGCUUCUCCCUCUGCCUAUGUCUCUGCCUCUCUCUCUCUCUCUUUGUGACUAUCAUAAAUAAAUUUAAAAAAAGAAAGAAAAAAAAA